GGAUAGCUCAGCCGGUAGAGCAUAAGACUCUUAAUCUCAGGGUCACGGGUUUGAGCCCCAUGUUGGGCA